AUUAAUGAUUAAGUUUAUGUAUUAACAGAUGCUUAAUUGUCCCCUUUAAUUGAAUGUUGUUUUCCCUCUCAGGCCACUACCCCAAUAAGCCCCUCCCCUCGGCAGGUGUGUUGCCAUGGAUACAGGGCAUGUUGUGUAACAUGCAGAACCCUUGUGUCAGUUUCCCCACACCUGGAGAAGCUCCUGGACAGGUGAACAACUUCAACAACUCCACGUGAGUCUCACAAAAAGCACACAAGUUACCGCCUUUAAAAAAGGACUGACAAACGCAUUUUACUGCAACAUGAAAUAAAAAUAUAAACUUAUCCCGAUGUUUAUUUAGAGUGACGAAGGUGUUGGUGGAGGUUCAGUCUCUGCUGGCGGAUCCUGCUUUCUUCAGCUCUGCUAAACUGAUCUCUGAUGAUUUCAGCCAGUGGACGUCUGUCCUGCAGAACACAAACACAAGCGCAGGUCAGUCUAUUCCCCUCCGCAAUUUGCUGAAGACCAACGAGACGUUUUCAGAAUAUCUGACGAACAGCCUUUCGGUGCCAAACACAACAGUGGCGAGUCUGAUGAGGGUGAAGGUUCGGCUCGGACAGUUGCCUUCACUCUCUGCUGAUGGAGAUCUGCGCUCUGUGCUCUGCGGUCCAUCAGUCGAUCGCAUCCUGGAGUUCAGCUCAGCCAAUCAGAAAGCAGAAUUUCAGAACAUCACAUGCUCCCUGACAGCCAAUCAGCUUCUUCAAGCCAGACGAGUGUUUGUGCAGAAUCUGGACAACCUCAAACUCAUGAACGCAGUGAGUGAAACUCUUCUGUUUCUAUUAGACACACGUAAACAAGUCAAAACUGAUAGUUUGGGGUUAAAACUAACACACACAAACACACAUACACAUAUAUAUUAACCCUUAUACUCACUGAGACUCACACACAUACACACACACACACUCAGAGACACACACAAACACACACAUACCCCAUUUGCAGCGUAAUCCCCUGCACAGAUAAAUACUUCAACACACACACACACACAGAUCUGAACAGUGCUUUACCUCUGCAGUAAUGGCUAUUGAGUGUGUGUGAAGGUCAGAGCGACAGACACAGAGAUAAGAGGCCAGUGAAUGGGAGUUUAUUAAGCUUGUUUUAACUGCCUGACAUCCCAGAAUAAACUCUGCAAAUCUAAUGAUCUUUAUAGAUUCAGCCCUACUUCGUUUCAGUUCAGUAAUACCGUCUUAAUCUUUGGCUCCGUGAGGGAGAACCGAUAUAAUACGCAAUUAAGCUCAAGAAAAAAAGAAGGCUCAUUGGAAAUUC
rnacentral:lncRNA from 1 species